CACGUUCACGUACUGCUUCCACUACAAAUUGUUUUUACUUAGUAUUUGCUUUUUGUUAAAUUAAUUAUUAUCGUUUUCUUCAAUUAAGAUUAUGUUUGCUUUACUUGGAGACGAGGUCAUAUUGUCUCUCCCCACUCUUACUUGAGGUUAAUUAAAGUUACAACAAAAAGAAACAUACCCCAAAAACAUCAUCUAUGAGGAGAUAUUAGGAAGAAUCAGGCACCGAUAACCAGAGAGCUAAGUGUACUUAAGAGGCUACUGGCUCAGCAUCCUUAAAGUGAAUGACUAAUUGGACAUAUAUUUUCAUAGAGAAGGGUGAUCUUAAUCAUAUCACAGAAAAGGUAAAUUGGACAAUUCUAUGCUGUCUUCGGGAGGAGGGUAGUUUGAGCUACAAAAACUAGACAUCAGGACCUGAAAACAGCUCCUAUUUUAUGAUAAUUUGAAGGAUAUGCUGUGCCAACAAUAGCCUGUGGACAAAAAUGUGUAAGAUGAGAUCUUAUUGGUACCGGUUAAUAAAGAACUUCAGACAAAUACUGUAAACUCACGAACGUUCCUGGGGUUGUAGAACCCACUGACAAUGAGUCUUUUUUUUUCCUUUUUAUCUGAUCAAUCACACUGAAUGGGGUUGUAGAACCCACUGACAAUGAGUCUUUUUUUGCUUCUGAUCAGUCACACUGAAUAUGAGACUGCUGUUCAAAUUUCCACUUGACAACUUGAUGGAAGAAAUACUUCUUUCUGGUUUGAUCUCUAAUGGCCUAAGUUACAGACAUGCAUAUGCUUUUUUACUAUAUCACUGGCUAAUGAAAUUACUGCCAGGUGAAGUUGGAAAUGUCACAAGGAAAAUGCCAAGGUAAAUGAGUAAUCUUAGGUAUGAACCUGAAUUUUUGAACCUAAAGCUGAACACUCAUGAAGUUAGAUCUAUUUCUCUGAAACCUGGUCAGUAUUCAAAGUUCAGAUAUUCGGUAGCCUUCCACGGGAAGCUCUCUGUUGUUAGCAGACUAAAGAAGCAAAGGGGGCAAUUUACAGCUACACAUAUGCGUGUUAUACUGGAGCAUCCAGCAUAGAGCAAUUAACAAGAAGUUUAAGUUCUCAGCUUAUUGGUUCUGAAAUGUACAUAAGCUAAUGUUAUGAGUUGCCAAAACAGUCAAACGACAUAUUCUUACUCUUCACGAAAAUAGUUUACAGUUCUGCCCAUCACUAUAGUCGUCAUGAGGUAUAAGCUACUAGCGUUAUAAGUUUCCAAAGCAGCCAAACAACUUAUUCAUACUCUUUACUGAAAUGAAUGCUAUUUCUCUUCAUUACUACAAUAAUCAAGUGCUAUAAGAUUUUUGUUUAUUAGUAAUCAUGACCCAUGAGCUAUAGGCAAAAGCUUCAGCGAAAGGGCUUACAAAUAUGGAUGCAGCUACUAUCUCUAUGUCUAAUUAAGCAGAUAGGAGCUAGAUUAGCCAAUCUUCAGACUGUCUGACACACUAUUAUCGCGACUUAAAAAAUCUGCAGAGACAUUUGGCGCUCACCACAAAGAAUAGCUUUCUUGGCUGGAGUUAUCCACUACAUAUAGUAAUUUCUAUGGGAAUUAAUUAUCUGCAUCUUUUUUUUAUCAACACAAUAUUGCACUCGAGAACGCCUUUGGUACUUCUGAAUUCCAUACAGGUGAAUGACUACCAAAAAAAUCAAA